rnacentral:miRNA from 1 species
CGGACUCUCAAACAGUGGAGGUA